GUGCUUGUUUUGGCAGCACAUAUACUAAAAUCAGAACAGUACUGAGAAAAUAAGCAUGGCCCCUGUGCAAGGAUGACAUGCAAAUGUGUGAAGUGUUCCAGAAAGAA
ensembl:snRNA U6 U6 spliceosomal RNA